ensembl:processed_transcript Gm15342 predicted gene 15342
GAGUUCCAAAUAGAACCCCAGAGGAAUAAGAGGGUGAACAUGGAGAGAGAAAGAUGAGAGCUUCGGCUUAACUUGAACAUCCUUCUUAUACUACCAGCUAAGACCCACAGGUUACAGAUCAUGACAAAGAUGGAGAAAGAAAUCUUCCCCAGGGCUGAAAACACAGCUCAGCUCAAAGUGAGAGAGAGCAUCAGCUGCCCUUCCAGGGCUGGGCCACAACAGUCAGGAACUUCAGGUCUUCUGGCUUUGGGCAACAGACAUGCACAUAGGGCACAGACUACAUUCAGGCAAAACACUCAUAUACAUGAAAUGAAUAAAGAAACAAAGAACUCUUCACCAUCACUGGAAAGAAGGUAGUUCCUCAGACCCUGUCCAACUGUCCCGCAGGCUAGGACAAAUGACAGCUGGUCAAAGUCAGGCCUACAGCCAAGCAGUAACUUCCCUCUCAGAAAGCAGAACAUAGUUACUGAGAAGUACUAGAGAGCCCUAGGAAGAGCCCCAUCACCUCCAUGACGCUGGUAGAUACUGAUUCAUAAAUCUACCUGCAUCACCAACCACCAAUGCAGCCACCAAGUGAGCCCAAGGGAAGCAACUCAUCCCAAAGAGAAAGCUUAAAGAGAAUGCAGGAAAGCAGCAACAGAUACAAGUCACACUGAGGAAAGACUGUAUGGGAAGUUCUUGCCCACAAUGAAGCUUCACCACACAUCAAGGGAUCAGGUGUCAGCUGUGGCCACUAUUGGUGAUUUGAUCAUUCAUCUCUCAAGAUCUUCACAGUGUGAUCAGCAUUUAUGUCAUGAGCAUUGCACAACUCAAAAAACCUUAAGAGAAUAGUGCACAAUCUUAUGCUUUGGGACAACAGUCAGGAACCAGUCACAACAGAGCAAAGGAGACAAAGCUGAGGCCGAGAGCAUCACAGAAAGACAGCAAAGGCGAGAUGGCCUGUGCACUACGGACAUGGAAAAAGCUUCUGGGGAUGGUCAUGUCAUUUCUGUGGAGGGAAGCAAUAUGAAAAAGAUGCAGGCUCACAUUCUCAUCAUAUUGAAACCUAGAUCCUAACUAAAGACAUUAAAAAAGUUAAUAAAUACAUGAAAAGGCUGCCCAGACACUUUGAAUGCUCAUUUUAAAUGGCCUUCAAAUAAUUAGUGUUAGCAUGCUUUACUAAGACACAAAGCAUUGUAGAGUGUGGUGUCCUGUCCAGUCCUGAGCUAGUGGAGCACGUGUCUUUGUCUGAGGCAGGGACAGACACUCGUGGUACCUUGAGCUGUCGCUGUCACUACCACUUCUUCUGUCAUUUCUCCACUCGUCAUCUUCUGAAGAACAAGAACCUUCACUCUGAUCAUAAGAUGUCUCCUAGAUGGUCAAGGGAAAAGAAAAAUCUUGAUGCUAUAGGCUGUAUGACACACAAAACUGCUACAUCAUCCCAACAAGACAGUACACCUAAGGAACUCAAGUAAUUAGAAGAAAUGCAAUUAAAUAAGACCUAGAAAGCAAGGCACAUUUAAUAAACAAGCCACAAAGGGCUUUUGAGAGAAGGUAGCAUGUGUUGGGCUGGCCUCCAACUCACUCUGUACUAAAGAAUGGCUUUGAACUCCUGAACUUCCUGGGAUUGCAGAUAUGCAACACCAAGCCUAGCUUCCAAAUCCUUAUAUUUACCAAGGUAUUUCUAAAGAGGACUUGUGAGGCUGACAGCCACCAUGCCCAGAACAGACUAGGGCUCCGGAUGUUGGCACUGAGGAACACAGGACCUUCAGCAUCUGACUACCGAGAUGAGAUGGCCAGCAUCUUCAAAGUGUGAUUUCCUAUCUAUGUGUCUUUACUAGUGAGGUGACUGGCAGAUGCUUUCCCAUUUUGAAAAGGGAACGACUUUCUAUUACUCCACUUCAAUAGUGCUUUAUAUACACAAAUGCAAACUUUUUAAGUAUUUGUCCCAAUUUGUGGUUUUGUCUAUUUAUCUCGUAACAUUAUCAGUUAUCUUUUCUGGAGCAAUUCUGAAAUUUUAAUUUUGUCAGUUUCCAAUUUGACUACUGUACAUAAAAUAACAUUGCUACCUGAGGACACCUAUAUAUUCUAUCUUCGGGUUCUACAAAUAUUAAACUCUCCUUUACAUUU